GCCUGCCACAGAUGACAGAACGUGGGUCUGAAAGUCAGGGAAACAGCCGACCUAGUUUAGUAGUCCUACUUGGUGAGAAGUGAGAGAAAAUGCAUUAUCCACCGUCGAAUGUCAAAGCAUGGUAUAAGAGUCUCUGACUUGAAUAAUUCCACUGACAUCGCAACGUUGGAUGCUGGGUGAUUACAGGGAUCCCAGGAUCUCAUCCAAAUUCUGGGUUCAGAAUGAUGCAAGGACGUCUCAGGUUCCGACGUACAAAGGUUCAGAGACUUCGUGUGCAAGAAUCCAUGCCACGUCUGGAUCCACCGGGAAUUGUCCGCACACUACAACUACAAACUGUUCGCCGUAGAUGAUAUUCUGUGCCAGCCCCCAACAGUCAAAGGCAUAGCUAUGGCAACCAUAAAGUCAAAAAUUAAAGCUCUAUAUUGGGGGACUCGGAAGGAAGUACAAAAAUAAAUUAAGACCAUAUUUUUUUCACCCAUUUUGGAAAGAUAAACCCAUAUACAGUAUAAUGUAGACCAUUUUAAAUUA